GCUAGUCAACAAAGGGAGCUUGGCCUUUGUGGCAGAGAAAGAAAAUUAUGUGCCUUGUUACAAUGUUUCAGCAAACCUUUUUGUGGGGUUUAAAGAUAGGGAGGAGUUUGAUUGGCAUUGUGAAGUAUCAAGAAACAGAGAACGGUGUCUGGUUCGCCCUCCUAAGGACUAUAAGAUUCCCCGGAGGUGGCCAGCUGGUAGGGAUGUGAUAUGGAGUGGAAACGUGAAGAUAACCAAAGACCAAUUUCUUUCGUCUGGGAGCAUGACCAAAAGGUUGAUGUUACUAGAAGAAAAUCAAAUUGCCUUUCACUCUGAGGAUGGUUUGAUUUUUUAUGUUGUCGAGGAUUAUUCUCUUCAAAUUGCGAAGAUGCUAGGUUUAAAUGAUGAUUCUCAAUUUCUUCAAGCCGGUGUGCAGACUGUACUAGAUAUUGGUUGCGGUUUUGGUGGCUUUGGAGCUCAUUUAGUAUCACUAAAUGUAAUGGCUAUUUGUAUCGCGGCAUAUGAGGCAACUGGCAGUCAAGUUCAAUUGACCCUUGAGAGAGGUCUUCCAGCAAUGAUUGGCAAUUUCAUUACAAGACAGCUUCCAUUUCCAACGUUGUCCUUUUUGAAAUGGUUCAUUGCUCAAUGUGGUAUUGUUUGGGACAAAAAAGAUUGGAUGUUGCUUUUAGAAGUUGACCGGGUACUCAAGCCUGGUGGCUACUUUAUUUUGACCUCAUCCACAAGCCAGCCAUAUGGAAGUUCUUUGAGCAUGAAGAAUAGCAUGUUGACUCCAAUGGAGGAAUUGACCCUGAAAAUCUGUUGGACUUUAAAAGCUCAGCAAUAUGAAACUUUAAUAUGGCAGAAAACUGUGGUUUCUGAUUGCUAUACAUCUCGCAAGCAGGGUGCUAUACCACUUUGUAAUGAAGGGCAUGAUGUUCGGUCAUAUUAUAAGCCCCUCGUAUCAUGUAUAAGUGGGACCACCAACAAACGCUGGACUCCAAUCCGAAAUAGGUCCUCGAGUCCCCAUCAAUUGAACUCAGCUGAGCUUGAAAUUGAUGGAGUUCAGCCUGACUAUUUCUUUGAGGACUUACAGAUUUGGAGAUCAGCUCUGAAAAACUAUUGGUCUUUGCUUUCACCCUUGAUUUUCUCUGACCAUCCAAAGAGACUGGGUGAUGAAGACCCAUUAUCUCCAUUAAACAUGAUACACAAUGUGAUGGAUAUGAGUGCUCACUAUGGGUUAAAUGCAGCUUUUCUGGAGGAAAGAAAAUCAGUUUGGGUGAUGAAUGUUGUGCCUGUCAAUGCUCCCUAUCCACUUCCUCUCAUACCAGAUCGAGGUUUUGCUGGUGUUUUGCAUGACUGGUGUGAACCGUUCCCUACAUAUCCUGGAACCUAUGAUUUGCUGCAUGCGAAUGGGCUGCUCUCACAUCUGUCUUCAGAUAGGUGCGGCAUGAUGGAUUUAUUCUUGGGGAUGGAUCGGAUUCUGCAACCUGAGGGAUGGGUUUUCUCUGUGAUAAAGUGGGAGUUAUUGAGAUGGCAUGUGUGUUUGCUACACAAAUGCGUUGGGAAGCAAGGGUGAUCGACCUUCAGAAUGGCAGUGACCAAGGACUGCUUGUUUGCCCAAAACCAUUCGUGAAAAAACGAUUGUUUUACUUCAGGAGGUUUUAUCAUUGCGGAAGUGUACAAUUGUUUUUCCUCUAUUUGCUUUGGUAAUUUCUCUAAUCUUUCUAGAAUUCAAAUUCGGAUUAUGUAGAUGUAGUGCAUUGACCCGUUUGCGUUUUUA